AUGACCUGGCCGAAAUCGGCUGCUUAACUGACUGAGCCACCCAGGCGCCCCUCUUAUAACUGUAUUUUAAAAAGUUGAAAGAACUAAGGGAACUUAAUUUUGACAAUACAUUUCAUUAUGUAAAUGCAAAAUGUUAUUGCAACAUAUAGUCAACAUACAAAACUUAUUAAUGAGAUAUUUUGUAAUUUUUAAUACAUGGUCUUUAAAAUCUGGUGCAUAUUUUACACUUAUAGCCUGUGUCAGUCCCGACUAACCACAUUUCAGGUGUUCAUCAGUGACUCUUGUCACAGGCAGUCCCUGUCUUGUUUAGUGCAGCUGUACUUUCCUGGUGUUUUGCCAGCAUCACUAGCUCAUACAGGAGUUGUCUGCCAUUAUAAGAGAUCAGUAGCAUCCAGUAAUUGGCUCACCAACUGAUAGAAUUACGUUGCAUUUAGGCAUUUCAGUCCAUAACAACAUGGAUUGGAGAUUUCUCCUUAUUGGGGCCAUGGUUUUUCCUGAUUAUAGAGAGAAAAGGUUGGACUAGAUGACCCUCAAUGUUCUUUCCAGUUGUAGCGUUAUAUAUUUUUCUUUCCUUUUAUUUUUCUUCACAUAUCUCAAACUUGCCUUUUCCCGACAAGUAUAGUGCAGGCAAAAAUGGGAUGCAGGGUCACAUGCCUCUGAAUCUUGUAACAGUAUCAUUUAACUGUGUCUGCCGCAUAUACAAAGACAGUGCCUUUUCCAAAGGAAGCUCCAAUGGAUUUUUAUUGCUACUGCAUUAACUUAUUGCAAAGAUAUGUAGAUACUUUUAGUGAUGUAUUUUUCUUUCUGAUUUAUUAGAUAUUUUCUAAAUUUUGUUAAUUUUAAGACAGCCCUUUGUUGUUGUUAAUAUGAGCUUAUUUAAAAUCUGAUUACAAUGUUAACAUUUUCUUAUGUUGACAUAGCCUAUUAUUCAUGGUUAUGCCUGUUCAGUAUUCAGUAUUAUACCUAUAAUGUAAAAUUUUGCUUAUAUCAUUUUUUGAGUUUUAUUCACUUGGGAAAAUGUCAAACCAUUUCCCUAAAAAGGACUUGAAAAAUCACUCAAAUCAGUGUUCCGAAAGGCAGUUAGUGUUUUUUCUUUUUAUCACUGUACUCUUUAAUACCUUUUCCAGUUAUUUUAAAUUCUGAUAUGCCUAGUUGUCUUUCUUUUUAUAAAUGGCUAUAAAUGUUAUUACCACCUUGUUUGAAAAUGUGUAAUUUCACAGACUGUGUCUAUAUGUGAGAAAAAGUGCUUCACCCGUUCACCAAGUUAAAAAACAGUGUUAUUUUAGGCAAUGGUAAUACUGAAUAACAUUGUGCAUCGAAGCCUGGCUCUUGCUCAGUUACUCCUCCCCCCCUUUCUUUAGAGCCACAUGAAUACUUUCCAGCCUACACCUAGAAAACAGUCUGUGGUCGUUUUUACUUGGACAGUCUUGCUCCAAGGAAUAUUUGGACAUUAGCAUAAAGGUUGCACAUGUUAUACAAAGUGUAAUUAAAGAAGCUUUGAUCCCCAAAUGUCAACUAGCUUGCUAAGUGUCAUAACAAAGUGUCAAGCAUCUGGUAUACAGUUAAUUUGUAGUCAUUAACUCCAUAUUGUUGAUGUGACAGUUUGUUAGCAAAGCAAGCUUGACAGUUGCAUUUUGUUCUUGAUUGACACCUACAGACCUCCCCACCCGUUUAGUUUACAUUCCUGUUGAGGUUUCCUCAGGUUGCAUUUUUACUGCUUAAUUUCCCCCAACUUAUUAGUUGAAGUGCUGGUAAACUUUUAAAAACACAUGCUAUGUUAGUACUGAAUUUCACGUUUCUCCUCUAAAGUGUUCUAAAUUUGUAAUAAUGCUGGAAAUAAAGAAAUGUUGGUGAUCUUUAUUCAGAAUCUAAAGAUUUGUUCAAGUAAUGUGACAGCCCAAGCAUUAUACUGAUGCAUAAUUAUCACAAAUAACAUAUUUAUAAUAUGACAAUUGCUAUGGCAAUUAAUCUAGUCAGCCCUAAUUUCUUGUACAGUUCCAUUAAUUUUUCCACUUUUCAAAGGCUCAGAAAACAGAUAACUGGAUACUUCAUCAUAUUCUUAAUUGCAUUGAUUUAAUCCAAAGAGUCCAUUACAAUCUAAUUUCAGUCCUUUAAUGUUUUAAAAUUUUACUUGUAUUGAAUUAUAUGCAACUUGUUUGAUGCCAAGUUUUUACCACUGUUAUUAAUAAAAUCCCAUUUAAAAAUGUUUUGUAAGACACUUCAUUCUUUACUCUCAUAUAUUUUCUCAUCAUAGCAGUCCUUCAUUCAUAUAUGCAGGAUAUUACUUUAAUGAAUUAUGUUUAUGAAGAGUCAAAUAUAUUUUUAUAAUAUAAUAUAAUAUAUAUAAUAUAAUAUAAUAUAAUAAAUAUAAAUACAUAGCAUGUGUAUGUGUGGAUGUUAACAACUUCCACUUAUUUUGUUUCUGUAGUUUGGAGUGGUUGUAUAGCUAAGCAGAAUGUGUAAUUUAUAAACUUGUAUAUAGUUGUGGCAGCAGUCAGAGGUUUCAUUCACUAAAGGUCAUUUUUUGAAACUGUGUAUUUGGAAAAACUAGACUUUCUAGACAAGCACAAUGAAAUUGACUGAUGAGAAAGUUCUUAUAUUUAUAUUCAGUUCAUCUAGUUCAUUUUCUACUAGCAGAUAAGGCCAUAGUCAAAUCACUUGUUGAUAGGAUGAUAACCCAUUUAUUUCACCACUUGCAUCAACUUUAUCUUUGCCCUCAAAUAAUUAUUGCAAGAAUGCAACAUCACAGGAUAAGGAGUCCCUGCUCAGGGCUCAACGUCUGAAUUCAAGCCUUUAUUUUGUCGCCUAACUGGCCCUAUAGAUAGCUUCAUUUACUUAGGCCUCAUGACUUUUGAUCUGUAAAAUGAAAUCACUGGGCUAGAUAAUCUCUUAUGUUUCUUUUAACUCUAAAAAUUAUAAAUUUGCAUGUAAUUUUGCAUUAUGAUUAGAAAAGAGCUAUCCAUUUAAAUAUAUGUUGUGCCCUCCUAGAACUUGUGUUUUGAGUGGUGUGUAUUUUACACUUCCUGAACAUGCUGGCACAUUCCUCAUCUGUUAGAUGGCUUGGGUGAGAACUAAUCUCAUGAAAUCAUAUUGCAGUUUUGCUCUUAAACCUGGUGCGGUUGCUUUCCUUUCCCAGUUGUACUGACUUUAAGUCAGAGGAGGAGUGAAUUCUCAUUCAGAAUGGAGAAAGGAAACCUUGUUAAUGGAAAGAUGAGAAGGUAUCUGUGGAUGGAGAUGAAAACUUGGGAAGGCUUUAUUAACCUUAUUACAUGAAAGCGGGAAGUGAGGUUCAGGGGAUUAUGCCGAGGGAUGUUUCCAUUGACUUUAUGCUACCCACUAUUUGCAGCAAUAAAGCAGGUAAAAUGGGAAAGGGAUACCAUAAGGAGGGUACUUCUGGCUUGAUAAGAACCAAGGCUAAGUACACUCAAUGAUUUUUCAGAGAGCUUCUCUUGGUUUCUUGGCAUUUAGUUAGAUACUCUCAAGGACGUCAGAGGUUCAGUAAUUGAAUGGUAAACUAGUGGUUGGUGGAGUUCUCUGAGAGAGCUUUAUUUUCUGGUAGACUAUACGUUGUAAUGGAGGAAUUAGAUGGGUCCUAUCUGGUAUUUAGAAAUCAUGCUAACUUCGAGAAAUUUUUUGUUUCAUAACAACUUGUUUUUUUUUCUAUUCAGUGUGUAAUAUAUAAUAGACAUAAAAUGUUUCUGUUAUAGGCUUCUUUGGUUCAGUAUCAAUUAUGCAUUUAUAAUUACAAAAGCUAUUGUUAAUUAUGUUAAUAUUUUACCUUGUGAUGAUUUUGCCCAGAUCUUGUUGGAGAGCUCUAGUACAAGUCUCGUAGAAAACACUUUAUGUGUACGUAUGUAAUACAGUAUAAACAAAUUGAUCAUGUGAAUUUUGAUAUUUUAAUUAUAGUAGGACAGAAUUAUUUAGUAAGAAACUUCUUUUGGGGGGAAAUAUAGUCAGAUAACUUAGAUAAGGAUAGUUAGUGAGUCUAAACCCUGUAAAUAUUCUUACAGAUAGAUAUAAAUGUAGAUUCAACUAUAGCUAUAGAUAUAUAGAUUUUUCCCUGUCCUUAUACACAGGCAUAAUUGGUGAGUUAGUAUGGAAGAAGGUGAAAUAGUUCUCUUAUUUCCUUCAAAUCAGUAUCUAUAAAAUAUUCACAGGAUAUUAUUAAAAAGACACUUUGGUUCAGUACAGUGCUUCUCCAUACUGAUUUUCCUGUUGAGCUGCGACAUUGGUAAUCUAUACUAAUGAGUACAAGAGUCAUUGCAGAUUAUAGUAUUUUGUGAAUUAGCAAGUAAGCAAAACACACAAAUUAAAGAAUCAAGGGCAUCAUAAAAUGUACUGCAUCAUAAAACCUACUUGUUCAUUUAUUUUGACAAGUGUAGUUUAAUUUAAAUUAUUUAUGGUACUUUGUACUCUACAAGUAACUGUAACGUAGUGAAUUUUGUUAAAAAUAAUGAAGUUGAAGCUAUAUGAGCUUUUAGUUAUGAUUGUGCUAAAAGAUUAGAGCCAUCAAUUUAUCUUCUUUACCAUUUCUACAGGCAAAUUCAUAGUAUUUUUUCUUCCUAUUCAGAAGAAAAAGAGUCACCUGAGUCCACUGUAUAUCUUGUCAAUGCUUUUAUAACUUAUACCUUAAUGAAUUCUUUGGGAAUGACGCUCUUUCAUAAACAUUCCAUAUUCAACAAAAUUCCGCCCAAAUCCAGUGAUUUGUGUCAGGUGCUCACUAUUCUACUAAAUUACAUUAUUCCUGUUAAGGCUUACACAUUGGUAGUUACAUAUGAUACAAAUAUUCCCUUGAAUGGAUUCUCCUUUAAUUGCAAAGUGUAUUGUGAUAGAACACUGAUUUGGGCAUUAGAUAAACCUGAAUGCAAAUCUUGGUCUUUUCCGUGUCAUUUAUCCAUAGUCUCAUCUGUAAAGGGAGGUAUUCUUUCUAAAUGACAGUGUUUUUGUGAAUGUUAAAUAACAUAAGCAAAGUAUUUAGUACAGGCCCUGGCAUUUAAUAGGCUUUCAGAAAGUGUUGGUUGUUAUUAUAUUAACUGUUGUUAACCUUUGCAAAAUUGUGGAAUUGGCAAAGUUGGGCUCCGAGUCAGCUUCCACUUUCAACACUUCUGUGUGUUAUUUUUCUUUCAGUGAUAGUGACUCUUGUGUCUUUACAUCUUCACCCCGUUCCUCGCGUGCACACACGCACACACGUACACACUCUGUAUUCUCUACCACAGCCUUCUUAAAUACUGGAAGACUAUUAAAUUCUUACUACUGCCCCUUCAACCUAUUUUUCAGAAGAUUCUGAACCCAACGGGCUGAGAAUUCCAGAAGUAGGUGGGUAAAUCUGUAUCUUUUUCCUCUUCAGCUUCUUUUAACGUUGGGAUCUACGUUAUUAGUUAAUAUUUGAUUAUAAUGUCGCCUUAUAUUUUCUCUCCUUUCUGCUACAACUCUGUAUUUAUUUGUCCAAUUAGUUUGGAUGAUGAAGAUUUGUAUCAUUUGAGUAUAUAUGUUUUGUUAUAAAGCUGUUCUUAAAUAAGACUGUGUCCCAUGUAGAAGGCAGUACAUCUUUGUUUGCAAGGAAUAGAAAAUUAAUGUUACUAUAUGUUGAGGGGUAAUAACAUUCAUUUUUUUCCUCCUUACAUUUUGAGUUGACUUUUUUCUUGAGUUUUAUUUAUUAGUUAGUGGCACCAUUUUCAACUUUAAAAGUGCACUUGUUAAUAUUAUGAUUCUAAGUACACUUUUCAGCAUAAAGGAAUUUUUUUCCUUUUCACAUAUUUGUUUCUACUUGAGAUGUGUUAUUAACAUCUCAUCAGAAAAAGGUUUUGCUAGUCAUAAAGUUAUUUCUAGGAAUAUACAUGACAAAACUUUAUGAAAGUAUAACAAUGAUCCAUUUAGUCCUCCUUUAUGAAGACAUUUAAAGCAUAUAAAUGGUCUAUGCUUUAAAGUAUCCUUCAGAAUUACAAAUACGUUAAGGAAUCUAAUUUGUAUGCGCCGGUGUUCAUUCCCGUGUUUGUGCUGGCUUUAAGUAGCCGCAUAGCUUUUAAUUGUGAGGUUUUAAGUUCUGCAAUUAAAAUUUACCCUUUUUACUAAGAGGGUUGAGUGAUAGUUUUUGAUUUACUUUAGACAGUUUAGACAAAUUAUAUUUAAAAGAGCAUAAAGAUGCACAGAGCAUUUCCUGAUUCAGAGAAGGUCAAAGUGUCUUAGUCGCAUUUUUUGAAAGUUUUACCUUGAAUAACUAAUGAUUCCUCCUACUGUAUUGACUAAACCUCGCUGAAGACAUACAAGUAGGAUGUCAAACUGCUCCAGAACAUUGACUUCUUUGAAAUCAGUGACCAAAUGACCUUGACAGAACAGGGAACAUGAUAUUUUAUAUCUUAAGAUAUUAUAUUAAAAUCACCUCUAUGAAGGAUGCAGAAUCAGAUUACAUUAGUGCCUCCAAUGAUGCUUAUAUUUCUUUUCUGAUUACUUUUGUGUUUAUAAAAAUAAUGAAAAUUCUUUGCAAACUACUAGAAAAUCUCUUUAGAGCUUUGGCCAUAUCAAAAGUGUAGUAGAAAUUUUGCAGGCAGAUGUUUAAUUUGAUCAAGGCAGACCAUAAAAUGGAUAAUUCUGGUCCAUAAUGAAAGUUGAGGUCACAGAAACAGGUUGUGGAAUUGUGGAAUAAUAACAACAACAAAUCUUUUGGAGACUUUUUAGAAGCGGCACAUUAACAAGGGAUUGCAAAUUUGAAAUAGAAUUUAAAUUAAUUCCUGAAAAAUCUGGAGAUACCUGUGUAAAGCAGUGAGAAAAGCAUAUGGAAAUGUAGAUGUGGAAAUGUAAGAGAAAGCAAUUUGAGGUCUACUUGGCAUAGCUUCAUAUGGUGGGCCCGUUGGUCCAAGGUUGGAGGUGAUAUCAGAGAUAAGGUAAUGGUCACAUCAUGAAAGGUCUAUGUGUCAGCAUAUUAAGUAGGGGAGAUGGUUGUGUGUUCAAACUAUAUAAAUUACUCUCAUAACAUUAUUUCAUGGGGAUGAUAUUACCACCAGGAAAAUAUUCAGGAGAUAGUGGUGAAGCAAUGUUAGAAAUUAUGAGAACCUUUUAGGCUUAUAUUACCCAGGCAGUGUCAGUUGAGACAUAGAAAACAUGACAGAUCCAAGAAAUAUUUAAGAUUUGAACUGAGAGAUAUUGCCAAAUUAUUUGGAUGGAAACAAAAAUUGGGGUGUGGAUUAAUUUCUUAAAAAUACUUUUAUUUGUUGAUUUGUAGAAAUGAAUCACCAAAUGUUGAUAUUACAUCCAUGUAAUCAUACGACCAAAGAUAACGUAGUAGAUUCAUAUUUCCAAAAAUAUUUAUAAAUGAAGGGAAUAAUAGCUUAAAAUAAAAACCAAAGUUAGUUUUUGGCUUUAAGACAGAAUAAAAAUUUACUUUGACCAGUCUUAAAGCCACACACUUCUGUUUUCUCUGUGAGUUUGUAAAGAUUUAUGAAGCUACCCGAUUGUUAAUGGCAAAUAACAGCUGCUAUUUUUACAUAUUCAGGGAUUUUUUUUUCUUUUUUGCAAUCUGUGAUAAAUACUGGCAGAGCAUUAUAAAAUGACAGGGGUGCAGAAAGCGCAAAUGAACUGGGAAAAAUGAGGAUCCAAUAUUUAUUCUAAUCUCACUGAAACUACAGUUUUGAACUAUAAAUACAGUAGCAAAUAAGCUUAUUGGCAUGUUUCUGUGUUGUUGUUUUUGGAUAUAAAGCUCCCGUUUUAAUAGACAAUUGCUAAUUUAGCAUAAAUAUAACGUGUGAGUGUAUUAUGUAUGCCAUUAUAAGGGAAAUGAUUUACUUGUUCAUUCUGUUCUGUAAAAGCAGGGACUGCCUUAGGCAAAACUGCAAAGCCAGAAGUUCCCCUCUCGUGCCCUCCUACAACUCAUUCUGGGAACCCAGCUCUGCCCUGGACUUGUCACACUGCCACUAUCUACUUCCCCCCGUCCCUGGGUGCCCAGGAUGGUGUUCUCUCCAUAUUUCUUAUACUAGAAUGUAAAUUCACAUCUACUUGAUGAUUUUUAGAUUCAUAAUCAAUUGAUGAAAAGAAAGUAACUAGUUGUGGUAUGUUGACAAAAGUGUCAUGACAUUUUGGAAGGACUCCAUCUUUUUGUAUCAAAUCCAAAUAAACUGCUCUCUGUGGAGAUUUUAGGUUCAGUAGAGGAAGAUGUUGAUAUCAUCAUAGGUUAGAAAAGGAAAUAUUUGGAGGCAAGCAGACCAAGAGUAGUUAACGAUAUUGUGAGAUAAUGGUGAGUUUUGAGAGAUCUGAUCAGGCAAUUCUUCACAAUAUGUAAUACUGCUUAGAUUUAAAUAAUUUUAUUUUGAUUAGAAUGACAUUAACAAGUACUGAUAUAUAAUAAUAGGUAAUGCCGAGGUUUUUGUACUUACGUCUUUGUUCUUGGGUAAUUAUCAAUGGCUGACUGCUUAUAAGGCAAAAACAUUAAAAAGAAUAGUAUAAAAUUUUUCCUAGUUAAAAAUAAUGGAAAAGAAUUAAAUUGUCAAACUAUAUUCUCUUAGACUCUAAGUGAAUUUUGUGACAAGUAAGUUCUAUUAUCCCAGUGUGUAACAUCAAUGCCACAGAUCAAAAGGAAACUUUGUAAUUCAGUGCUAUGAUUCUAGAAUGUCUCAUGAAAACUACUGAGUCUCAGCAAAAUACUUUGACCUUUAUGGCUAAACACCUGGUCAAUUUUAAAUAAUCUAGGAUGACAUUUCUUGGAAUAGACUCAAAAUUCUAAUAAAUGGAAGAAUUGGAAAAUAUAUCUCUUUUAAAAAUCCUUGAUCAUCCUUUGAUGACAAGUCUCACAAAGAAAAGAGUAUAAAAAUUAGAAAGUAUUCAAAUGGAUUUUAUUAUCACAUUUCUUUGGCUGAGCAAAUAUAAGAACUGUGCAUUUUCAACCACUGUAAAAAGAAACAAAAAUCUCUCACUAAAAAUUACCAAAAUAGCCAUCUAAUUAAAAAAAAAAAAAAAAGCCUUUUCAGGAGACUCUAACAGUAAACCAGAAUAUUCAGUAC